CAGGUACAACAGAUAGAUACUUGGGUCAAACCAAGAGGAAAGUCCGAGCUGCUGUAAGACAGUGUUCCAUUUAACUAAUGGCCGUAGUAAUACGAGGGAAAGUGCAACAGAGAUUAGACUUCCGCUUUAGGGCGGUAAAGGUGAAAAGGUGGUGUAAGAGACCACCAGUCUCUAUGGCAACAUAGAGAGCUUGAAAACCCAACAUGGCAGCAAGAAACAAAUGGUUAGCGUCUUACAUUGCUAUUGUUUCGCUAGAGGCAUACUGUAAAGUAUGCAGUAGAUUAAUGCUAUCAAAACAAAACUCGGCUUAUAGUUGUACCUGCUAC
rnacentral:RNase_P_RNA from 17 species